rnacentral:lncRNA from 1 species
GCUGAGUUUGUGGCGCGCUUAGUGAUGGGAUGGCCCUGUGCAGGACGCCGACACGAAAAGAUGAAGAGUUCAAUCCGUGCUGUCUGAACUCACAGUGUAGCAGGCGAGAUAGACGGGAAGAUCGGUAGGGUGGGAGAUGCCGGAAAGGCUUCCCGUGAGACUGGAUAAGAAAUCAAAAAUCUGGUGAAAUUGCCGGCAAGAGGGAGUUAAGGACAUUCCAGGCAGAGGCAAGGUGAGA